rnacentral:rRNA from 1 species
GACGAACGCUGGCGGCGUGCCUAAUACAUGCAAGUAGAACGCACAGUUUAUACCGUAGCCUGCUACACCAUAGACUGUGAGUUGCGAACGGGUGAGUAACGCGUAGGUAACCUGCCUGGUAGCGGGGGAUAACUAUUGGAAACGAUAGCUAAUACCGCAUAAUAUUAAUUAUUGCAUGAUAAUUAAUUGAAAGGUGCAAUUGCACCGCUACCAGAUGGACCUGCGUUGUAUUAGCUAGUAGGUGAGGUAACGGCUCACCUAGGCGACGAUACAUAGCCGACCUGAGAGGGUGAUCGGCCACACUGGGACUGAGACACGGCCCAGACUCCUACGGGAGGCAGCAGUAGGGAAUCUUCGGCAAUGGACGAAAGUCUGACCGAGCAACGCCGCGUGAGUGAAGAAGGUUUUCGGAUCGUAAAGCUCUGUUGUAAGAGAAGAACGGGUGUGAGAAUGGAAAGUUCACACUGUGACGGUAUCUUACCAGAAAGGGACGGCUAACUACGUG